AGAACGGGCGGAGGGCGCGGGCCGACCGGGCGCACCGACCAUGGCCUCCAAAUGCCCCAAGUGCGACAAGACCGUGUACUUCGCCGAGAAGGUGAGCUCCCUGGGUAAGGACUGGCACAAGUUCUGCCUCAAGUGCGAGCGCUGCAGCAAGACGCUGACGCCCGGGGGCCACGCCGAGGUGAGCCCCCCUGUGCGGCGCGGGCGGGGUGGGGGUCGCGACUCCCGCCACCCUCAGGCAGGGUCCUGACCCGCGCCCCUCUGCGCAGCAUGACGGGAAGCCGUUCUGCCACAAGCCGUGCUACGCCACCCUGUUCGGACCCAAAGGCGUGAACAUCGGGGGCGCGGGCUCCUACAUCUACGAGAAGCCCCUGGCGGAGGGGCCGCAGGUCACCGGCCCCAUCGAGGUCCCCGCGGCCCGAGCAGAGGAGCGGAAGGCCAGCGGCCCCCCGAAGGGGCCCAGCAGAGCUUCCAGUGUCACAACUUUCACCGGGGAGCCCAACACGUGCCCGCGCUGCAGCAAGAAGGUGUACUUCGCUGAGAAGGUGACGUCUCUGGGCAAGGAUUGGCACCGGCCCUGCCUGCGCUGCGAGCGCUGCGGGAAGACACUGACCCCCGGCGGGCACGCG
rnacentral:sRNA from 1 species